rfam:Dichanthelium oligosanthes cultivar Kellogg 1175 unplaced genomic scaffold Do_version_2_scaffold1395, whole genome shotgun sequence.
GCGACAAGAGCUACUCCGAGUAGCCAAGGAAGACAUGCCUAUGCUCAGCAUAACUCGCCAAGUUAGGAGACAGCAGAAAUAAUCGACACAGGCAAGUCAUCCUUGGCUACCGAAUCAGCUCUGGUCC